rnacentral:rRNA from 1 species
UACGAAGGGGGCUAGCGUUGUUCGGAUUACUGGGCGUAAAGCGCACGUAGGCGGAUCGUUAAGUCAGGGGUGAAAUCCUGGAGCUCAACUCCAGAACUGCCUUUGAUACUGGCGAUCUCGAGUCCGGAAGAGGUGAGUGGAACUCCUAGUGUAGAGGUGGAAUUCGUAGAUAUUAGGAAGAACACCAGUGGCGAAGGCGGCUCACGUGGUCCGGAACUGACGCUGAGGUGCGAAAGCGUGGGGAGCAAACAGG